rnacentral:misc_RNA from 1 species
GAGCCAUUUCCUCCCCCCAUAGGCCAUAUAUAUGUUACAUCAGAUUGUUAGCUAUAAUGCUUAUUCUUUAGUUGUACACUGUCAUCUACCCAUUGGGUAAUCUCCAUGACGAUGGCAGUGCAAAUUUUGGCUAGUCAGUUCACAUAUAUAAAGAGUGUACCUUGGGUUGAGCAGAAAUAUUGAUCUGCAUGUAGGAUGAAUUACAAAUACAAUCCCAUGCAGAUUGUUGUAAGUUAUAACUCUAUGUUCUACUCUAUA